AACUGGGAUUAGAUACCCCACUAUGCUUAGCCCUAAACACAAAUAAUUAUAAAAACAAAAUUAUUCGCCAGAGUACUACCGGCAACAGCCCGAAACUCAAAGGACUUGGCGGUGCUUUAUACCCUUCUAGAGGAGCCUGUUCUAUAAUCGAUAAACCCCGAUAAACCUCACCAAUCCUUGCUAAUACAGUCUAUAUACCGCCAUCUUCAGCAAACCCUAAAAAAGGGACAAAAGUAAGCUCAAUAAUAACACAUAAAGACGUUAGGUCAAGGUGUAACCUAUGGAGUGGGAAGAAAUGGGCUACAUUUUCUACCCAAGAAAAUUUAAUACGAAAGCCAUUAUGAAAUUAAUAGCCAAAGGAGGAUUUAGCAGUAAACUAAGAAUAGAGUGCUUAGUUGAAUCAGGCCAUGAAGCACGCACACACCGCCCGUCACCCU
rnacentral:rRNA from 1 species